rnacentral:lncRNA from 1 species
UAACAACGUCAUCUGAAUGGAAUGCUCAUGAUAUUCAUGAACAGUUGUAGUGUCUUUAAUCAGUAACCAGCUCAAGUAAAGUCGCAGAGAACAAGUUAAGUGGGUGUUAUUGAAUAAUGUAUUUCAAUGUAUUUUAAUGUAUUUUAAAUUCUGCUGUUAUUCAAUUAUGUAUUUGAUAAAGUACAACACAAUCCACUGUUAUUCAAUAUGAGUUUGAUUUUGUUGUAUUUUGGUUGGAAAGGAUUUUAAUGUAUUCUUUUGUCUAAAACAUGAGUAAAGCAAAUACGUGCCUUUUCUCUCUGAUUUUGAUGUACUUCAUAGAAAACUAUAAGAAAAUAAAUAUUUUUAAAAUUAUUUCUUCUUCUUCCAUCUAUAACCGAGAACCUAUAAAGCACGUAAGGAAUUUAAAUGAUGAAUAAGUGCAAGAUCCACCAUGGCAUCUUCAAGCGGAGAACUUUGCUGGGAAGGAGGAAGAAGAAGAACAACGAUCAUGACUUUAAAAACAGAGAAUCAGAUGCUUCAUUAGGAAGAUAAAUCCACAGAUCCCUUCAACAUUUUAUUUGCAACAUACUAAAUCUUUUAUGUUUUUUGUUAUUUUGAUCCUUUUCCUACGAAGAACCGAUAUUGCCGUCUCGGAGUCGUCACGAAACAAAC